UUCCUCAUCAGAUUGGGAACAAGACAAGGAUGUCCACUCUCACCAGUUUUAUUCAACAUAGAACUGGGAGUCCUAGCCACACUAAUCAAACAAUAAAA